GUGUAUGAGUGCGCAGUGUGUGUGUAUGAGUGUGCAGUGUGUGAGUAUGAGUAUGCAGUGUGUGAGUAUGAGUGUGCAGUGUGUGAGUAUGAGUGUGCAGUGUGUGAGUAUGAGUGUGGUGUGUGUGUAUGAAUGCAGUGUGUGUGUGUGAAUGCAGUGUGUGAGUGAAUGCAGUGUGUGUGUGAAUGCUGUGUGUGUAUAUGAGUGCAGUGUGUGUGUGAAUGCAGUGUGUGUGAAUGCUGUGUGUGUAUGAGUGCAGUGUGUGUGUGAAUGC